GUCCACGCCGUAAACGAUGAAUACUAGGUGUAGGUGGUAUAGAAGCCAUCUGUGCCGCAGCGAACGCAUUAAGUAUUCCGCCUGGGGAGUACGGCCGCAAGGUUGAAACUCAAAGGAAUUGACGGGGCCCGCACAAGCAGCGGAGCAUGUGGUUUAAUUCGAAGCAACGCGAAGAACCUUACCAGGUCUUGACAUCCAACUAAAGGCAUAGAGAUAUGCUGUUCCUUCGGGAGAGAUUGAGACAGGUGGUGCAUGGUUGUCGU
rnacentral:rRNA from 1 species